UUCGGUAUCCUGUGUUGCUUACCUAUCGAAAGGAAUCCGAUGGUUUCGUUAGUCCCUUUCCACCCCCUGCCCUCACGGGUUUUGGGGUGGACAUCAGGCAAGCCUCGUGUUCCCGGCAUGCUUCGCCCAGCUGCGUCGCUGCCUCGGCCCAUGAGGCGCAUUGCCCGUGCUCUCGGAUGCAGAAUGUUAUGUGCGGGUGCGGGGUCUAUUUAUUAGCUCCGUUUGCCCAAGCAACGCAUUUGUCUUACGACACGAACGACUGCCGUGCCCGUCUUGAGCCCGCUGCCGUACGGCCUGCCGGGUCUCAUGCGGGUGUCGG
rnacentral:misc_RNA from 1 species